CUAUACAGCCCUUAUGGACAGCAGCUUAAACCAUACAAGUAACUGUAUAGAUGAUAAAAAGUGCAAGUGGCAAAAGUGCCAGAGUGCAAAAAAUCACUCUUUCACAAACAACACAUUAACACAAAUAACAACAGUAUACUGGUAGAAUAAAGACUGCUGUACCACGAACGCAGGGCUCUUGUAGCUGCUCGACACCUUUCGUCACUUGGACU